GAUGAAGAACGCAGCAAAAUGCGAUAAGUAAUGUGAAUUGCAGAAUUCAGUGAAUCAUCAAAUCUUUGAACGCACAUUGCGCCCGCUGGUAUUCCGGCGGGCAUGCCUGUUCGAGCGUCAUUUCAACCCUCAAGCCCCCGGGUUUGGUGUUGGGGAUCGGCUCUGCCCUUCUGGGCGGUGCCGCCCCCGAAAUACAUUGGCGGUCUCGCUGCAGCCUCCAUUGCGUAGUAGCUAACACCUCGCAACUGGAACGCGGCGCGGCCAUGCCGUAAAACCCCAACUUCUGAAUGUUGACCUCGGAUCAGGUAGGAAUACCCGCUGAACUUAAGCAUAUCAAUAAGCGGAGGA
rnacentral:misc_RNA from 1 species